GACGAACGCUGGCGGCGUGCUUAACACAUGCAAGUCGAACGGAAAGGCCCUGCUUUUGUGGGGUGCUCGAGUGGCGAACGGGUGAGUAACACGUGAGUAACCUGCCCUUGACUUUGGGAUAACUUCAGGAAACUGGGGCUAAUACCGGAUAGGAGCUCCUGCUGCAUGGUGGGGGUUGGAAAGUUUCGGCGGUUGGGGAUGGACUCGCGGCUUAUCAGCUUGUUGGUGAGGUAGUGGCUUACCAAGGCUUUGACGGGUAGCCGGCCUGAGAGGGUGACCGGCCACAUUGGGACUGAGAGACGGCCCAGACUGCUACGGGAGGCAGCAGUGGGGAAUAUUGCACAAUGGGCGGAAGCCUGAUGCAGCAACGCCGCGUGCGGGAUGACGGCCUUCGGGUUGUAAACCGCUUUCGCCUGUGACGAAGCGUGAGUGACGGUAAUGGGUAAAGAAGCACCGGCUAACUACGUG
rnacentral:rRNA from 1 species